GACGAACCGUCCUAACGUUGUUCGGAAUCACUGGGCUUAAAGGGCGCGUAGGCGGGUUCCCAAGUCGGUGGUGAAAUCUUUCGGCCCAACCGGAAAGCAGCCGCCGAUACUGGGAGUCUUAAGGGAGGUAGGGGUCGAUGGAACUUCCGGUGGAGCGGUGAAAUGCGUAGAUAUCGGAAGGAACGCCGGUGGCGAAAGCGAUCGACUGGACCUUUUCUGACGCUGAGGCGCGAAAGCCAGGGGAGCAAACGGG
rnacentral:rRNA from 1 species